rnacentral:lncRNA from 1 species
AUGUGCACCAGCUCCAGAGUAAAGCAUUCAAAUGAGGAUUACCUGUUCAAGUUGUCAUUUUGCAUCUACGCAUGCAUCCUCACCACAAGAAUGCUGGGACCGAGAGAAGGAUUGGCAGGAAAGUUCAAACCGAAAGGACAUUUCCCAACGUUUUUCAAGGAUAGAAACUCAAGAAUUAUACAAAUUCUCCACAGAAGCUGGCAUUUGGAAAAGUCGUCCUUGUCUACAACUAGCAUGUUCAGUACGAGACCCCUGCCUUCCAUAGAGAGGAGCUUCAUCAUUUUUCAUUCAACCUAAAGAUUUCAUCAACAGUUUUGUGCAUCAAUCAUCCAACCACUUGAUGGACAUUCCAUAAAUUAGAGCCCACCACCAAGAACCCUCUGUCCAUGGUGGUGUCGGAUUAAUUUGAAAACUGAUCUUCAAGGAUGAUCUUAAGGUAUGGAUAUGUUCUAGCAACACUGCAAUUAUUUUUUCUGUUACUAAAUUAUAUAGAAGAAUAUUAAUAGUAUGUAAAAGUAAUUCUGUUAUGGUAUAUCAAACAGCAUUUGCAAAACCUAUUUUGAUGUUAUUUUGCCAGCAUGUGUUCCAUUCUUUGAGAGAAUUUUAAGCUGAGCAUAGCCUCACUCCCUGUGGAAAUCUGUCAAGUCACACACAUGAUAGAAUUCAAAGAAUUCAUCACCACAUAAAACCCAUAUGACAGCUCACCAAUCUCAUUUCUAAAGCUGUAGGAUCUGCAUUUACUGGGGUGGUACAAAAAGUCUAAGUGACACCUGUGCCAGAAGUUUGAGUUGUACAAUUUAAGAUGCCCAGUACAGAACACAGUCCAUUAGGUAUGUGUGAUAGCCUAUUCGGUGCCAUAGGAGCACAGGAAAGAAGUUACCAAGCAAUUUUAGAUUAGGCAUCCUUCAGUCCCGAGAGACUACGGUAACAUGCUCUGUAUGGAGGACUUGGAACAGCGUCUAGUGUGGCUGAGAAUGCCAAUUCGAGAGUGACAAUCCCUUCCACGCUGAAGACAAAUACAAUCUGUCCCUUGUCCAGCUCCCUGAUUUUGCUGGUUUUGGGACUGCCUCUUUGCCUCAGCUUUCUACUCUGUCAGAAUAUUGAUCUCUCUAGCUCAGAGAGGGCAGCAUGUCGGGCAUGUUGAAGGCCCUGUCUUCAUCCCCCAUAAUUUGUUACCACCAACAGAUAGGUCCACCAGAAAUCAGGGUCAGUCUCUCUCUCUCUCUCUCUCUCUCUCUCUCUCUUUCUCUCUCUCUUUGUGUGUGUGUGUGCGUGUGUUUAGUUUACAUCCCAUUUUUCUGUUUUGCAGGAACCAAAGGAGCUUACAACCUAAACUUCGAAAAGGUAACAGCUUUUUAAAAACCACAAUAAAUCACAAUAUUUAAUACUUUUCA